rnacentral:lncRNA from 1 species
UUGCCAAUGAGACAGCUAUCCACAAAAGACCAAAAUGACACAGACAUUAACAACUAUAGGUCACCGUACGGCCUUCAACAAUGAGCAAAGCCCAUACCGCAUAGUGAGCUAUAAAAGACCCCGAUAAGACAAUGUAAAACAAUUCAAACGAGAAAACUAACGGCCUUAUUUAUGUAAAAAAAUGAACGAAAAACAAAUAUGUAACACAUAAACAAACGACAA